UUCCAUGCCAGUCGAACGGCAGCACGGGCUUCGGCCUGGUGGCGAGUGGCGAACGGGUGAGUAAUACAUCGGAACGUGCCCUGUAGUGGGGGAUAACUAGUCGAAAGAUUAGCUAAUACCGCAUACGACCUGAGGGUGAAAGCGGGGGACCGCAAGGCCUCGCGCUACAGGAGCGGCCGAUGUCUGAUUAGCUAGUUGGUGGGGUAAAAGCCUACCAAGGCGACGAUCAGUAGCUGGUCUGAGAGGACGAUCAGCCACACUGGGACUGAGACACGGCCCAGACUCCUACGGGAGGCAGCAGUGGGGAAUUUUGGACAAUGGGGGCAACCCUGAUCCAGCAAUGCCGCGUGUGUGAAGAAGGCCUUCGGGUUGUAAAGCACUUUUGUCCGGAAAGAAAUGGCCUGGGUGAAUACCCCGGGUCGAUGACGGUACCGGAAGAAUAAGCACCGGCUAACUACGUGCCAGCAGCCGCGGUAAUACGUAGGGUGCGAGCGUUAAUCGGAAUUACUGGGCGUAAAGCGUGCGCAGGCGGUUUUGUAAGACAGGCGUGAAAUCCCCGAGCUUAACUUGGGAAUGGCGCUUGUGACUGCAAGGCUAGAGUAUGUCAGAGGGGGGUAGAAUUCCACGUGUAGCAGUGAAAUGCGUAGAGAUGUGGAGGAAUACCGAUGGCGAAGGCAGCCCCCUGGGACGUCACUGACGCUCAUGCACGAAAGCGUGGGGAGCAAACAGGAUUAGAUACCCUGGUAGUCCACGCCCUAAACGAUGUCAACUAGUUGUUGGGGAUUCAUUUCUUCAGUAACGUAGCUAACGCGUGAAGUUGACCGCCUGGGGAGUACGGUCGCAAGAUUAAAACUCAAAGGAAUUGACGGGGACCCGCACAAGCGGUGGAUGAUGUGGAUUAAUUCGAUGCAACGCGAAAAACCUUACCUACCCUUGACAUGCCACUAACGAAGCAGAGAUGCAUUUAGGUGCCCGAAAAGGGAAAAUGG
rnacentral:rRNA from 1 species